UACGUAGGCAGCGAGCGUUGUUCGGAGUUACUGGGCGUAAAGGGUGUGUAGGCGGUUUGUUAAGUUUGGUGUGAAAUCUCCCGGCUCAACUGGGAGGGUGCGCCGAAUACUGAAUGACUAGAGUGCGGGAGAGGUGAGUGGAAUUCCUGGUGUAGCGGUGAAAUGCGUAGAUAUCAGGAGGAACACCGGUGGUGUAGACGGCUCACUGGACCGUAACUGACGCUGAGACACGAAAGCGUGGGUAGCAAACAGG
rnacentral:rRNA from 1 species